rnacentral:pre_miRNA from 1 species
GAUUUCAAUUGAAAAAGUCAUCAACAACAAAGUUGAAUAACUCAUCAAGAUCUAAAACUUUUAUUUUUGUUAUUUCUUCAUCCGACGAAAUGUUAGUAAUAUUAUUCACAAAAUUUACAUAUAUGUGUUAUAGUUUAUAAAACCAGAUAAGAGAUAUGUCAAUUUUGUGAACAAUGUUACUAUCACUUUGUCGUAUGAAGAAAUGAUCAAAAUAAAAGUUUUAGAUCUUGACGAGUUAUUCAACUUUGUUGUUGAUGACUUUUUCAAUUGAUAUC